AAUAGAUACCCCGGUAGUCCACGCCGUAAACGAUGAGUGCUAAGUGUUAGGGGGUUUCCGCCCCUUAGUGCUGCAGCUAACGCAUUAAGCACUCCGCCUGGGGAGUACGGUCGCAAGACUGAAACUCAAAGGAAUUGACGGGGGCCCGCACAAGCGGUGGAGCAUGUGGUUUAAUUCGAAGCAACGCGAAGAACCUUACCAGGUCUUGACAUCCCACUGACCGCUAUGGAGACAUAGUUUUCCCUUCGGGGACAGUGGUGACAGGUGGUGCAUGGUUGUCGUCAGCUCGUGUCGUGAGAUGUUGGGUUAAGUCCCGCAACGAGCGCAACCCUUGAUCUUAGUUGCCAUCAUUUAGUUGGGCACUCUAAGGUGACUGCCGGUGACAAACCGGAGGAAGGUGGGGAUGACGUCAAAUCAUCAUGCCCCUUAUGACCUGGGCUACACACGUGCUACAAUGGACGGUACAAACGGUUGCCAACCCGCGAGGGGAGCUAAUCCGAUAAAACCGUUCUCAGUUCGGAUUGUAGGCUGCAACUCG
rnacentral:rRNA from 1 species